AGUGAACGCUGGCGGUAGGCCUAACACAUGCAAGUCGAACGGCAGCACAGUAAGAGCUUGCUCUUACGGGUGGCGAGUGGCGGACGGGUGAGGAAUACAUCGGAAUCUACUUUUUCGUGGGGGAUAACGUAGGGAAACUUACGCCAAUACAGCAUACGACCUACGGGUGAAAGCAGGGGAUCUUCGGACCUUGCGCGAUUGAAUGAGCCGAUGUCGGAUUAGCUAGUUGGCGGGGUAAAGGCCCACCAAGGCGACGAUCCGUAGCUGGUCUGAGAGGAUGAUCAGCCACACUGGAACUGAGACACGGUCCAGACUCCUACGGGAGGCAGCAGUGGGGAAUAUUGGACAAUGGGCGCAAGCCUGAUCCAGCCAUACCGCGUGUGUGAAGAAGGCCUUCGGGUUGUAAAGCCCUUUUGUUGGGAAAGAAAAGCAGCAGGUUAAUACCCCGCUGUUCUGACGGUACCCAAAGAAUAAGCACCGGCUAACUUCGUG
rnacentral:rRNA from 1 species